UACGUAGGGCGCAAGCGUUAUCCGGAAUUAUUGGGCGUAAAGAGCUCGUAGGCGGUUUGUCGCGUCUGCCGUGAAAGUCCGGGGCUCAACUCCGGAUCUGCGGUGGGUACGGGGCAGACUAGAGUGAUGUAGGGGGAGACUGGAAUUCCUGGUGUAGCGGUGAAAAUGCGCAGAUAUCAGGAGGAACACCGAUGGCGAAGGCAGGAUCUCUGGGCAAUUACUCUGAGGAGCGAAAAGCAUGGGGGGAGCGAAACAGG
rnacentral:rRNA from 1 species